GGCAUUUCAACAGGAAACCGAGGCUCCCAAUUUCGAUAAUGUUUUACAGCAUUAAAAAUAACUCAAAGUUUUAUUAUUGACGACCCUUUUGAAUUUUAUGGACCAUGUACUUAGUUUAAAAAUCACCUUGCUGUAUUACUGUAACUUGAAGGACUUUCUGUACAACAACAAGAAAUUUUUAAUAUUCAGUUUGUUUGCCACCUAACUAAUCACUGGAAUCGCCACCCGUGUUGUUGGAUUAUUGGUGGAACGAUUCUUUCCCUGAACGACAACAGACCUUCCGCCUUGUAUCUGCGCAAUCGGAAGAUGCAGUCGUCGACGCGGACCGUCACCGUUGCCGGUUUUAUUUUGUGUUUACUGCUUGUACAAGCGAUGGCUGGCAUGGCCAAUUUAGAAAAGCACGAGGAAUUUCGGCCUUUCGGUGACCUACCCGCCGGCGACGCUGCGAGGUGGAAACAAAAAAUCAAUCGCCCAACCCCGCCUCCACCUCCGCCCAACUGCUGUUCAUGGGCGGGCUACAAUCAGUGCUGGUGGAAUGGCUGGCACUGGGCAUUUGCGCCGCAUCCGCAAAAUCCCAAUAAAGUAUGCAAAACAUAGUUGUUAUGUCACGCCUUACUUAAUUAUCGUCUUAAUUCUGCUAAAAUUGAUCGUCUUAAUUCUGCUGAAAUUGAUUUAAGCAUGCCAUUAAUAUUCUUAUAUUUUGUAAUACAUUGACCUUUCGUGUACUUGUUCAACUCCCGCAAGGAUGCUGAAUUCAUU